UUCUUGGAGAGUUUGAUCCUGGCUCAGAGUGAACGCUGGCGGCGUGGAUUAGGCAUGCAAGUCGAGCGAUCCCGCAAGGGAUAGCGGCAAAAGGGUGAGUAACACGUAAGUAAU
rnacentral:rRNA from 1 species